rnacentral:rRNA from 1 species
UGGGGAAUAUUGCACAAUGGGCGCAAGCCUGAUGCAGCCAUGCCGCGUGUGUGAAGAAGGCCUUCGGGUUGUAAAGCACUUUCAGCGGGGAGGAAGGCGAUAAGGUUAAUAACCUUGUCGAUUGACGUUACCCGCAGAAGAAGCACCGGCUAACUCCGUGCCAGCAGCCGCGGUAAUACGGAGGGUGCAAGCGUUAAUCGGAAUUACUGGGCGUAAAGCGCACGCAGGCGGUUGAUUGAGUCAGAUGUGAAAUCCCCGGGCUUAACCCGGGAAUUGCAUCUGAUACUGGUCAGCUAGAGUCUUGUAGAGGGGGGUAGAAUUCCAGGUGUAGCGGUGAAAUGCGUAGAGAUGUGGAGGAAUACCGGUGGCGAAGGCGGCCCCCUGGACAAAGACUGACGCUCAGGUGCGAAAGCGUGGGGAGCAAACAGG